rnacentral:rRNA from 1 species
CAGCCGUAAACUAUGCGCGUUAGGUGUAUCGGUGACCACGAGUUACCGAGGUGCCGAAGGGAAACCGUGAAACGUGCCGCCGGGGAAGUACGGUCGCAAGGCUGAAACUUAAAGGAAUUGGCGGGGGAGCACCACAACAGGUGGAGCCUGCGGUUUAAUUGGACUCAACGCCGGGAAGCUCACCGGAUAGGACAGCAGAAUGAUUGCCGGGCUGAAGACCCUGCAUGACUAGCUGAGAGGAGGUGCAUGGCGUAGACGUCU